AUUUAUGUCAGCUAAUAAAGCUAAUGAGUUCAUACCUCAUAAAUGGAAUAUAUUAUAGCUC
rnacentral:tRNA from 1 species